rnacentral:rRNA from 1 species
UGGUGGGUAGUUUGACUGGGGCGGUCUCCUCCCAAAGAGUAACGGAGGAGCACGAAGGUUAGCUAAUCCUGGUCGGACAUCAGGAGGUUAGUGCAAUGGCAUAAGCUAGCUUGACUGCGAGAGUGACGGCUCGAGCAGGUGCGAAAGCAGGUCAUAGUGAUCCGGUGGUUCUGAAUGGAAGGGCCAUCGCUCAACGGAUAAAAGGUACUCCGGGGAUAACAGGCUGAUACCGCCCAAGAGUUCAUAUCGACGGCGGUGUUUGGCACCUCGAUGUCGGCUCAUCACAUCCUGGGGCUGAAGUAGGUCCCAAGGGUAUGGCUGUUCGCCAUUUAAAGUGGUACGCGAGCUGGGUUUAGAACGUCGUGAGACAGUUCGGUCCCUAUCUGCCGUGGGCGCUGGAGAAUUGAGGGGGGCUGCUCCUAGUACGAGAGGACCGGAGUGGACGCAUCACUGGUGUUCGGGUUGUCAUGCCAAUGGCACUGCCCGGUAGCUAAAUGCGGAAAAGAUAAGUGCUGAAAGCAUCUAAGCACGAAACUUGCCCCGAGAUGAGUUCUCCCUGACCCUUUAAGGGUCCUGAAGGAACGUUGAAGACUACGACGUUGAUAGGUCGGGUGUGUAAGCGCAGCGAUGCGUUGAGCUAACCGAUACUAAUGAACCGUGAGGCUUAACCUUAC